rnacentral:rRNA from 1 species
UAUGGCUCAGAUUGAACGCUGGCGGCGUGCUUAACACAUGCAAGUCGCGCGUGAAAGGACUUCGGUCCGAGUAAAGCGGCGCACGGGUGAGUAACGCGUGGAUGAUCUACCCAUGAGUUAGGAAUAACGGGCUGGAAACGGUCGCUAAUACCAAAUACGCUCCGAUUUCAACUUCGGGGGAAAGGUGGCCUCUGCUUGCAAGCUACUGCUCAUGGAUGAGUCCGCGUCCCAUUAGCUAGUUGGUGGGGUAACGGCCCACCAAGGCGACGAUGGGUAGCCGGUCUGAGAGGAUGACCGGCCACACUGGGACUGGAACACGGCCCAGACUCCUACGGGAGGCAGCAGUGGGGAAUAUUGCGCAAUGGGCGAAAGCCUGACGCAGCGACGCCGCGUGAGGGAUGAAGGUCCUCGGAUCGUAAACCUCUGUCAGGAGGGAAGAACCGCCACGGUGCUAAUCAGCCGUGGUCUGACGGUACCUCCAAAGGAAGCACCGGCUAACUCCGUGCCAGCAGCGGC